GCUCCGCAGGUCACGCUCGAAACAAACUUUUCUAGAAUCAUUCAAUCAUACAAAGACGAGAUUUAACCCUUCUUUAUAGUGUAGCUCGGACGAGAAAGUCAGACAAGAUGUCAAGUAUACAUAGUACUAUAAUAUAUCGCACAUUUUCACUGGCGGAUAAGGGGAAGUUUAUAAUACAAGAAGUAUAAAAGAUAAUUGAUAAUAAUAUGGUAAAACUUUAAUACGGAAGUCGCUAAAAUUU
rnacentral:misc_RNA from 1 species